AGGAAAAACCAAUUUAUAUGUUAAUUGUUUAAUUUUGCAACAUUCACGUACAUUUAUAACAAUAACUUAAAACCAUAAACAGUGCUUUUUAGCAAACACUACUUCCUAGAAACCAAUUCAUAGCAACUGAAAUUGACGUCAUAAAUAAAUCGAGAACAACAAACAGGGGAAUCACCGGCGGAAACAGGUGCAGCCGAGAUGAAAUCUAACAAUCACGUUAACAUUCUGUUGACAUAUUUCGUCAGCUUAGUUAAACUCUAUUAUUAGAAGUUAACUUUGUAGAUUUUAAUUUGUAAUCAGAUACCAUCUACUCAAUCCUUUCUAAAAUUUGAGCAUUAUAGCUACUGCGUGCUAAGAAAUAAAAUCUGUAAGAAGAAAUCCUUUGGAAGUAUAGAAUGCAACUACGCAAAACAAUAGCAGACUUGGUUUGAAUACAUUUGUUAAUGAGAGGUAAUGGAAAGUGCAACACCUCUCACGCCCCAUAGCACCGGCGUACACGGAACUCUAUUACACAUGCAUGUUUCGAAUGGACUCCGUGAUCCCAAAGGACCAGAAAAUAUAACAACACUGAAUACUUGUGACGAUGUGAUUGGCGUUCGCCGGUGCUAAAUCCGUUUAACGUGUUCCAAUGACAUUCUCUAGCACUGUUCUAAACUUAAAAGGAUUCUUUUAUAAAAAUAAAACAGAACACAUUUCCACCAUGGUUUCUGUUGUAAAUAAACAUAAAUAAUCGAUCGGAACUAAAACACUAAUUUAAUUUAACCGAAACUGGUGGUUUCUCUGCACCAGGGCUUAUAUAGAAAAGUGCGCACAAGUUUCAAACAUGUAAAAACCCGAUUCUGUUUUACUCCAUUGAUUUAAAAUUUGUGCAAAGUACCAUUUUUAAGAAAUUUCAAGGGAUAAAUACCAUUUAUCUAGCUCCGUCAAAGACUCAAAAUACACUGUGUAACUACUAUGUAUUGUAUUUUCCGGCGAACGUUUGGUUUAUAUUACCCUGUUAAUUUAGUUUUGGUGUAAUGUUUUCUGUGAUUUUAUAAGCUAAAAGCUACAUUGUAAGCAAUAUUGGACGCCUUAUAUUGUUAAUACUACAAUAAAAUUGCAAUAUAUACUUUUGGCGGUAUGUUAAGCUGUUGUUGUUUUUCAUAUCAUCCUGGAUAAAGAUAUUUUUGAGAUAACAGUUAAAUGUAUAAACGGUUGUAUGACGUAGGCGUAGCUUCUGUGGUUUUGUGUAGUUGAUAUCCUAUAGAUACAAAAUGGGUUUUUCCAGUAAAUUUAAAUGUUCUACAUUUCUUAUUUCCAUUCAUAAAUAUCUUUUUUUUAAACAAUUAUGAUCGCGUUUAACCAUGGGUAAAUUCGCCCCCUUAAUGCAAAUAAGGUACCAUAACCUUUAAUUAUCAGCACAUGGUACAUUUUUGCUUUAAGGGGGCGAAUUGUAGUAUAAAAAGGGACACUCCGAACAAUAUAUAUGCUUUUGAAUAAAUUUGAAAACUUACUUGAAACUUACUUGAAAAUAUAAAAGAGCAAAAUGAGGUUGAACAUUGUUCACUGUGCUUUGUGGAUAGUUAUACUUCUGCCAUUGAACACCGGUAAAGUGUGCCUGGACUGGACCAAGAGCUGUUAUUCCGAGCGCAUAACAUGUCAUGGAAUCAUUUCCGGGUUAAAUUUAUAUAAAAUGCAAAGUUGUUCGUAUCAAUGUUGGAAUAUGGGAUAUUUACAGGGGAACUGUAUGAAAAUAAAUGAACCAAGAACAUUUAACUGCAAAACAGGAUCUACGCAUGCAUGGAUAUGUUUGUGCGAUCACAGCCGUCCUGGAUGGAAACAUAGACAUUGCCGAUAGGUAAUGUUACUACGUAAUGAAAACUGGCAUCACGAGGAUUGGUCCUGCGGGAAACGAUUUUAAACAUGAAUCGUAAUACCUACGACAUUUAAAGAACUAAACAGAGAUUUCACGGGAUGAUUAAACUGUAAGUUUAAGAGUAAAUACAUUUUGAGAGGGAAAAUACAUCGAUAGAGCGAGUAUCGAAAUGCACUAAUUGAUCUGACAUAGUUACAUACACUCUGAAACAGCGAUUUUAGGAGUCGAAUUAUUGGAUCUUUUUAAAAGGUUUUUUCUUACUUCACAUAUUCAUUGCUGCCAACUGCAUCAACUUUAUUUAUUUAUUUAUUUAUUUAUUUAUUUAUUUAUUUAUUUAUUUGCUGACCUUUCAUGUAUAUAUUGGGCUGGGGCCACUUACAUAUCAAUUGACAUUCCUGUUAUGUUUUUAAAAUACAAAUAAUUGUGGAUUUUUUAUUGUUUUUGUUUUGUUUUCUUUUGUAAAUAAACUGACCUAAACAUAAAA